GAUGAACGCUGGCGGCGUGCCUAAUACAUGCAAGUCGAGCGAACAGACGAGGAGCUUGCUCCUCUGACGUUAGCGGCGGACGGGUGAGUAACACGUGGAUAACCUACCUAUAAGACUGGGAUAACUUCGGGAAACCGGAGCUAAUACCGGAUAAUAUAUUGAACCGCAUGGUUCAAUAGUGAAAGACGGUUUUGCUGUCACUUAUAGAUGGAUCCGCGCCGCAUUAGCUAGUUGGUAAGGUAACGGCUUACCAAGGCGACGAUGCGUAGCCGACCUGAGAGGGUGAUCGGCCACACUGGAACUGAGACACGGUCCAGACUCCUACGGGAGGAAGCAGUCGGGAAUCUUCCGCAAUGGGCGAAAGCCUGACGGAGCAACGCCGCGUGAGUGAUGAAGGUCUUCGGAUCGUAAAACUCUGUUAUUAGGGAAGAACAAAUGUGUAAGUAACUAUGCACGUCUUGACGGUACCUAAUCAGAAAGCCACGGCUAACUACGUG
rnacentral:rRNA from 1 species